AUUGAACGCUGGCGGCAUGCUUUACACAUGCAAGUCGAACGGUAACAGCACUUCGGUGGCUGACGAGUGGCGAACGGGUGAGUAAUACAUCGGAACGUGCCUAGUAGUGGGGGAUAACUACUCGAAAGAGUAGCUAAUACCGCAUGAGAUCUAAGGAUGAAAGCAGGGGACCUUCGGGCCUUGCGCUACUAGAGCGGCUGAUGGCAGAUUAGGUAGUUGGUGGGAUAAAAGCUUACCAAGCCGACGAUCUGUAGCUGGUCUGAGAGGACGACCAGCCACACGGGGACUGAGACACGGCCAAGACUCCUACGGGAGGCAGCAGUGGGGAAUGUUGGACAAUGGGCGCAAGCAUGAUCCAGCAAUGCCGCGUGCAGGAUGAAGGCCUUCGGGUUGUAAACUGCUUUUGUACGGAACGAAAAGCCCUCUUCUAAUACAGGAGGGUCAUGACGGUACCGUAAGAAUAAGCACCGGCUAACUACGUG
rnacentral:rRNA from 1 species